GACGAACGCUGGCGGCGUGCUUAACACAUGCAAGUCGAACGAUGAAGCUAGAGCUUGCUCUGGUGGAUUAGUGGCGAACGGGUGAGUAACACGUGAGUAACCUGCCCUUGACUCUGGGAUAACUGCGGGAAACUGUAGCUAAUACCGGAUACGACCCUCGGAGGCAUCUCCUGGGGGUGGAAAGAAUUUCGGGCAAGGAUGGACUCGCGGCCUACCAGCUAGUUGGUGAGGUAAAGGCUCACCAAGGCGACGACGGGUAGCCGGCCUGAGAGGGUGACCGGCCACACUGGGACUGAGACACGGCCCAGACUCCUACGGGAGGCAGCAGUGGGGAAUAUUGCACAAUGGGCGCAAGCCUGAUGCAGCAACGCCGCGUGAGGGAUGACGGCCUUCGGGUUGUAAACCUCUUUUAGCAGGGAAGAAGCAAAAGUGACGGUACCUGCAGAAAAAGCACCGGCUAACUACGUGCCAGCCGCCGCCGUAA
rnacentral:rRNA from 1 species